rnacentral:rRNA from 1 species
UACAGGGGGUGCAAACGUUGCUCGGAAUUAUUGGGCGUAAAGCGCGCGUAGGCGGCUACUUAAGUCGGAUGUGAAAGCCCUUGGCUCAACUGAGGAAGUGCACCCGAAACUGAGUGGCUUGAGUACCAAAGAGGGUCGCGGAAUUCCCGGUGUAGAGGUGAAAUUCGUAGAUAUCGGGAGGAACACCGGUGGCGAAGGCGGCGACCUGAGUGGAUACUGACGCUGAGGCGCGAAAGCGUGGGGAGCAAACAGG